UCAUGGCGAAUGCCUCUCCAGCUCUACCGCUCUCCACAUCUUACUUUCAGCAACACUCUUAUUUCUUGUGACUCCAACAGAAUAGAAUCAAGAUGUGAAACUUUAGAAGAGCAAUCAGUCAGUAGUUUAAUAAGAGCAAGCUAGGACACAGAAAUUCUACCUUUAAAAAGAGAACAGGUGUGUGUGUGUGGGUGCUUGUGUGUGUGAAGUCAAACCAGACGCUUUGCCAAAACAGAAUGGACAAGGAACGUGAUGAUUUGAGCUUCCAUGGUGCUACAGAAUCUGCUGAAGGAGAAACAACUUCAAUUAUCUUUUCAAAGGACAGAUGUUGUUUACUACAACAGUGACUUGCAGGCAAGAUCUGGGACCUUGUGCAACAGUAGUAAAACUCUUAAGGAGUGACAAAUGCUUCUUGAUUGGAUUUGACACUUGAUCCACAGGAUGGAAUUCAUGCUUCAUACUGUUUAUUAUGAUCAAAAUCCAUGGCAAGGGGAUUCUUAUCACCUGUAUAAAAUUUAUCAAUUUUGUUUUGUUUGUUUUUAAAGUAUUUUUUAAAGUCUUUUGACACUUAAAUAUAAUUAUUUGAUUUUUCCCCUUUUCUUCAGACAUUUCAAUAAACCUCUUGCUCUGUUU